rnacentral:rRNA from 1 species
CGAGGACGACGCUGGCGGCGUGCUUAACACAUGCAAGUCGAACGGUGAAGGGAUCAGCUUGCUGGUUCUGGAUGAGUGGCGAACGGGUGAGUAACACGUGAGUAACCUGCCCCCUUCUUCUGGAUAACCGCAUGAAAGUGUGGCUAAUACGGGAUAUUCUGGGUCUGUCGCAUGACGGGUCUGGGAAAGAUAUUGUUUCGGUGGGGGAUGGGCUCGCGGCCUAUCAGCUUGUUGGUGGGGUGAUGGCCUACCAAGGCGGUGACGGGUAGCCGGCCUGAGAGGGUGGACGGUCACACUGGGACUGAGACACGGCCCAGACUCCUACGGGAGGCAGCAGUGGGGAAUAUUGCACAAUGGGCGCAAGCCUGAUGCAGCGACGCCGCGUGAGGGAUGGAGGCCUUCGGGUUGUAAACCUCUUUCGCCAGUGAAGCAGGCCUGUCCCUUUUGUGGGUGGGUUGACGGUAGCUGGAUAAGAAGCGCCGGCUAACUAC